rnacentral:tRNA from 1 species
GGAGGAGUCGCAUAGUGGUCUAGUGCGGCCGCCUGCUAAGCGGUUUCGGUGAGUAAUCGCCGACGAGGGUUCGAAUCCCUCCUCCUCCG